GAUGAACGCUGGCGGCGUGCCUAAUACAUGCAAGUCGAGCGAACAGAUGAGGAGCUUGCUCCUCUGACGUUAGCGGCGGACGGGUGAGUAACACGUGGAUAACGUACCUAUAAGACUGGGAUAACUUCGGGAAACCGGAGCUAAUACCGGAUAAUAUAUUGAACCGCAUGGUUCAAUAGUGAAAGACGGUUUUGCUGUCACUUAUAGAUGGAUCCGCGCCGCAUUAGCUAGUUGGUAAGGUAACGGCUUACCAAGGCAACGAUGCGUAGCCGACCUGAGAGGGUGAUCGGCCACACUGGAACUGAGACACGGUCCAGACUCCUACGGGAGGCAGCAGUAGGGAAUCUUCCGCAAUGGGCGAAAGCCUGACGGAGCAACGCCGCGUGAGUGAUGAAGGUCUUCGGAUCGUAAAACUCUGUUAUUAGGGAAGAACAAAUGUGUAAGUAACUAUGCACGUCUUGACGGUACCUAAUCAGAAAGCCACGGCUAACUACGU
rnacentral:rRNA from 1 species